ACAGCAGCAGCCGCGGGAAUACGUAGGUCCCGAGCGUUGUCCGGAUUUAUUGGGCGUAAAGCGAGCGCAGGCGGUUAGAUAAGUCUGAAGUUAAAGGCUGUGGCUUAACCAUAGUACGCUUUGGAAACUGUUCAACUUGAGUGCAAGAGGGGAGAGUGGAAUUCCAUGUGUAGCGGUGAAAUGCGUAGAUAUAUGGAGGAACACCGGUGGCGAAAGCGGCUCUCUGGCUUGUAACUGACGCUGAGGCUCGAAAGCGUGGGGAGUAAACAGGAUUAGAUACCCCUGUAGUCCCUGUCUCUUAUACA
rnacentral:rRNA from 1 species